ACCUGGCUGGCUCAGUUGGUAGAGCAUGAGACUCUUGCUCUCUGGGUUGUGAGAUCGAGCCCCACGGCGGGUC
rnacentral:tRNA from 1 species